GAGUCGAGUAGUUUGGGAAUGCUGCUCAAAAUGGGAGGUAAAUUCCUUCUAAAGCUAAAUACCGGCCAGAGACCGAUAGCGCACAAGUAGAGUGAUCGAAAGAUGAAAAGCACUUUGAAAAGAGGGUCAAACAGCACGUGAAAUUGUUGAAAGGGAAGCGCUCGUGACCAGACUUGCGCCGGGCCGAUCAUCCGGUGUUCUCACCGGUGCACUCGGCCCGGCUCAGGCCAGCAUCGGUUCUCGCGGGGGGAUAAAAGCCCGGGGAACGUGGCUCCUCCGGGAGUGUUAUAGCCCCGGGCACAAUACCCUCGCGGGGACCGAGGACCGCGCUCUGCAAGGAUGCUGGCGUAAUGGUCACCAGCGACCCGUCUUGAAACACGGACCAAGGAGUCAAGGUUUUGCGCGAGUGUUUGGGUGUCAAACCCGCACGCGUAAUGAAAGUGAACGUAGGUGAGAGCUUCGGCGCAUCAUCGACCGAUCCUGAUGUUCUCGGAUGGAUUUGAGUAAGAGCGUAAUGCCUUGGACCCGAAAGAUGGUGAACUAUGCCUGGAUAGGGUGAAGCCAGAGGAAACUCUGGUGGAGGCUCGCAGCGGUUCUGACGUGCAAAUCGAU
rnacentral:rRNA from 1 species